AGAGUUUGAUCAUGGCUCAGGAUUAACGCUAGCGGCAGGCUUAAUACAUGCAAGUCGAACGGCAGCACGGGUAGCAAUACCUGGUGGCGAGUGGCGCACGGGUGCGUAACACGUAUGCAACCUACCUACUUCUGGGGAAUAGCUCACCGAAAGGUGAAUUAAUACCGCAUAACAUCAUGAGACGGCAUCGUUUUAUGAUCAAACUUCCGGGGGAAAUAGAUGGGCAUGCGUAACAUUAGCUAGUUGGUGAGGUAAUGGCUCACCAAGGCAACGAUGUUUAGGGGGUCUGAGAGGAUGAUCCCCCACACUGGUACUGAGACACGGACCAGACUCCUACGGGAGGCAGCAGUAAGGAAUAUUGGACAAUGGGGGCAACCCUGAUCCAGCCAUGCCGCGUGAAGGAUGACGGCCCUCUGGGUUGUAAACUUCUUUUAUACGGGAAUAAACCCCUUGAUUCUUCGAGGGUUGAAUGUACUGUAAGAAUAAGGAUCGGCUAACUUCGUGCCAGCAGCCGCGGUAAUACGAAGGAUCCAAGCGUUAUCCGGAUUUAUUGGGUUUAAAGGGUGCGUAGGCGGGCUAUUAAGUCAGUGGUGAAAUCCUGCAGCUUAACUGUAGAAUUGCCAUUGAUACUGAUGGUCUUGAGUACACUUGAGGUGGGCGGAAUGUGUCAUGUAGCGGUGAAAUGCUUAGAUAUGACACAGAACACCGAUUGCGAAGGCAGCUCACUAAAUUGUAACUGACGCUGAGGCACGAAAGCGUGGGGAUCAAACAGGAUUAGAUACCCUAGUAGUCC
rnacentral:rRNA from 1 species